ACCAUAAUAAAAAAAUUAAAAACCCUACCUAGUAUAAUCGCCGCCCAUUACUCCAACUCCCCAUCCUCUCUAAACUCAAUUAUCUAACCUUCUCUCCUAUAUCUUUUAUAUACAGAUUUCCUCAUCUAUAAUCUCUUAUUCAUUUUUAUGUCGAAAAUCACUUAUCUAAUUUCUUUAUCUUUUUCUUCUUGAUCAUCUUAAUUGUUAUCAUCUUCUCACUAGCCCUAUCAUGAAACAGCGAGAUCGUUUUUUGAAUCCCAUAAUUUUUGGCAAUCUCCAGGUAAAACCAUUCUAAGAUUUAUAACUUAACGAAAUUCAAGCACAAACCAGUUAAUGGCGUGAAUUGGACCCAGUCGCAAUAAAAGCAAUAUACGAAGCUUAUGCAAGUGUAGGAAUUACAAACAAAUAAGUUGUUUGAUUGAAUCCAAAUCAAAUUAGCGUUGGAGUACUUGAAUCAUGUAAAAUUGAUAGUUGGAGUUAUUUUAAUAUGCAUUUUUAA